GAUGAACGCUGGCGGCGUGCCUAAUACAUGCAAGUCGAGCGAACAGAUGAGGAGCUUGCUCCUCUGACGUUAGCGGCGGACGGGUGAGUAACACGUGGAUAACCUACCUAUAAGACUGGGAUAACUUCGGGAAACCGGAGCUAAUACCGGAUAAUAUAUUGAACCGCAUGGUUCAAUAGUGAAAGACGGUUUUGCUGUCACUUAUAGAUGGAUCCGCGCCGCAUUAGCUAGUUGGUAAGGUAACGGCUUACCAAGGCAACGAUGCGUAGCCGACCUGAGAGGGUGAUCGGCCACACUGGAACUGAGACACGGUCCAGACUCCUACGGGAGGCAGCAGUAGGGAAUCUUCCGCAAUGGGCGAAAGCCUGACGGAGCAACGCCGCGUGAGUGAUGAAGGUCUUCGGAUCGUAAAACGCUGUUAUUAGGGAAGAACAAAUGUGUAAGUAACGAUGCACGUCUUGACGGUACCUAAGCAGAAAGCCACGGCUAACUACGU
rnacentral:rRNA from 1 species